UACGUAGGAGGCAAGCGUUGUCCGGAUUUAUUGGGCGUAAAGCGCGCGUAGGCGGUUUUUUAAGUCUGAUGUGAAAGCCCACGGCUCAACCGUGGAGGGUCAUUGGAAACUGGAAAACUUGAGUGCAGAAGAGGAAGGGGGAAUUCCAUGUGUAGCGGUGAAAUGCGCAGAGAUAUGGAGGAACACCAGUGGCGAAGGCGACUUUCUGGUCUGCAACUGACGCUGAUGUGCGAAAGCGAGGGGAGCGAACGGG
rnacentral:rRNA from 1 species